UACGAAGGGGGCUAGCGUUGCUCGGAAUCACUGGGCGUAAAGCGCACGUAGGCGGGUCUUUAAGUCAGGGGUGAAAUCCCGGAGCUCAACUCCGGAACUGCCUUUGAUACUGGAGAUCUUGAGUCCGGGAGAGGUGAGUGGAACUCCGAGUGUAGAGGUGAAAUUCGUAGAUAUUCGGAAGAACACCAGUGGCGAAGGCGGCUCACUGGCCCGGUACUGACGCUGAGGUGCGAAAGCGUGGGAGCAACA
rnacentral:rRNA from 1 species